rnacentral:rRNA from 1 species
CGGUAAUACCAGCUCUCCGAGUGGUAGGGACGAUUAUUGGGCUUAAAGCGUCCGUAGCCGGCCCGGCAAGUCUUCCGUUAAAUCCAGCGACCUAAUCGUUGGGCUGCGGAAGAUACUGUUGGGCUAGGGGGCGGGAGAGGCCGACGGUAUUCCCGGGGUAGGGGUGAAAUCCUAUAAUCCCGGGAGGACCACCAGUGGCGAAGGCUGUCGGCUAGAACGCG